rnacentral:rRNA from 1 species
GGGGUGCAGCAGGCGCGAAAACUUUACAAUGCUGGCAACAGCGAUAAGGGGACCUCGAGUGCCAGGAUACAAUCUUGGCUGUCGCGAUGCCUAAAAAGCAUUGCAUAGCAAGGGCCGGGCAAGACCGGUGCCAGCCGCCGCGGUAACACCGGCGGCUCGAGUGGUAACCGCUAUUAUUGGGUCUAAAGGGUCUGUAGCCGGCCGGAUAAGUCUUUUGGGAAAUCCAGCUGCUCAACAGUUGGGCUUUCAGAAGAUACUGUUCGGCUCGAGACCGGGAGAGGUGAGAGGUACUUCAGGGGUAGGGGUGAAAUCUUGUAAUCCUUGAAGGACCACCAGUGGCGAAGGCGUCUCACCAGAACGGAUCUGACGGCAAGGGACGAAAGCUAGGGGCACGAACCGGAUUAGAUACCCGGGUAGUCCUAGCCGUAAACGAUACUCGCUAGGUGUCAGCCACGGUGCGACCGUGGUUGGUGCCGUAGGGAAGCCGUGAAGCGAGCCACCUGGGAAGUACGGCCGCAAGGCUGAAACUUAAAGGAAUUGGCGGGGGAGCACAAGGGCGAUUCGCG